rnacentral:rRNA from 2 species
GCUCAGGAUGAACGCUGGCGGCGUGCCUAAUACAUGCAAGUCGAGCGAACAGACGAGGAGCUUGCUCCUUUGACGUUAGCGGCGGACGGGUGAGUAACACGUGGGUAACCUACCUAUAAGACUGGGAUAACUUCGGGAAACCGGAGCUAAUACCGGAUAAUAUUUCGAACCGCAUGGUUCGAUAGUGAAAGAUGGCUUUGCUAUCACUUAUAGAUGGACCUGCGCCGUAUUAGCUAGUUGGUAAGGUAACGGCUUACCAAGGCAACGAUACGUAGCCGACCUGAGAGGGUGAUCGGCCACACUGGAACUGAGACACGGUCCAGACUCCUACGGGAGGCAGCAGUAGGGAAUCUUCCGCAAUGGGCGAAAGCCUGACGGAGCAACGCCGCGUGAGUGAUGAAGGUCUUCGGAUCGUAAAACUCUGUUAUUAGGGAAGAACAAACGUGUAAGUAACUGUGCACGUCUUGACGGUACCUAAUCAGAAAGCCACGGCUAACUACGUGCCAGCAGCCGCGGUAAUACGUAGGUGGCAAGCGUUAUCCGGAAUUAUUGGGCGUAAAGCGCGCGUAGGCGGUUUUUUAAGUCUGAUGUGAAAGCCCACGGCUCAACCGUGGAGGGUCAUUGGAAACUGGAAAACUUGAGUGCAGAAGAGGAAAGUGGAAUUCCAUGUGUAGCGGUGAAAUGCGCAGAGAUAUGGAGGAACACCAGUGGCGAAGGCGACUUUCGGUCUG